CCGCCGCGCGCGGCGGGCCUACGGGAGGCAGCAGUGGGGAAUAUUCCGCAAUGGACGAAAGUCUGACGGAGCAACGCCGCGUGAGUGAAGAGGGGUUUCGGGUCGUAAAGCUCUGUUGUCGGGGACGAAUGUGCAGUAUUUGAAUAAAGUACUGUAAUGACGGUACCUGACGAGGAAGCCACGGCUAACUACGUGCCAGCAGCCGCGGUAAUA
rnacentral:rRNA from 1 species